rnacentral:rRNA from 1 species
UACGUAGGGUGCGAGCGUUAAUCGGAAUUACUGGGCGUAAAGCGUGCGCAGGCGGUUUUGUAAGCCAGAUGUGAAAGCCCCGGGCUUAACCUGGGAAUGGCAUUUGGGACUGCAAGGCUGGAGUGUGGCAGAGGAGACUGGAAUUCCUGGUGUAGCAGUGAAAUGCGUAGAUAUCUGCAGGAACACCCGUGGCGAAAGCGGCGAGCUGGACCACUACUGACGCUGAAGAACGAAAGCUAGGGGAGCAAACAGG